GUGGAGUUCGCUUCUGCUUCCUGGCUGUCCUGUGCUGAGCGGCUCUCCUCCACCACUCUUCCACCAGGAUGUUCUGCCUCACCACAAGCCCAGAACAAUGGAGUUGGCUGCCUAUGGACAGAGAUCUCUGAAACUCUGAGCCCCAAAUAAGCUUUUCCUCUUCUAAGUUAUCGUUGUCAGGUCUUUUGGUUACAGUGAGGAAAAAAGCUGACUAAAACAAGUGCUGAGCGCUUUGACACGAAUGCUCUUGUUGGGUCCUCAGACUCCACGUUUUAAGGGCACCAUUAUCAGUGAGGAAAUUGGGAAAUAAUGGCUUCCAUUCUGACUCCACCACUUACUGACUCUGUCCUCACACAGACAAACCUGCUUCCCCGGUUAGCACUUACUUAUAUUCAAGACUUAAUGGAGGCAGCACUUCACCCAGAAGCCUUCCUUGAUCUCAUCUUUCUGAGGUAGGUGCUCCUCCUGAGCUCCAAUAUCAUCCUGUGCUUUCCCUUCUCUGUUGCAUUUAUCAGACAGCAACUGUCACGGUCUAAGUUCUCAGCUUGCCACCCACUAGUUGAGUUCUGAAGUCGAGCUCUGUGUUUUCUCUACCUGGGAUCGUCUGGUGCUUAGCACACAACCUGACAAGACACAUUUGCUAAAGGAGUCAAGUAGUAACAGAAAGAAGAGCAGGUGACCCCCGUGGCUACUCGUCCUGGGACUUCUAUUGACCACACUCCAGGAGGUCAUUCCUUUCGGAAAGUGAACUGUCAGUGGGGCAAACAACAUUACUCAUUUAUUGAUUUAUGGUUAUUAUUUGCUCUUGUUAUUGUUGUUGAUGCUGAAACCACCAAAAUUACAAUUUAAAGAUCGAACUGGCUUUUGUUUGUAGUUCCAGAAUCAGACAACAUCUCAUUUUACAAAAUAGAAUGAAUUUCCUGAUGUCCUGAUGAGAAGUUUGAUUUCUGAGGCAGAAAAGGGCUGAAGAAAACAGAAACAGGGAACAAAAAGGGAAUGGGUUGUUUUGUGGUCACUCUCUCACUAGGGCUACAACCGUGGGCAUUUCCUUACCAUGCCAGCCAGCCAAGGUAGACUGGGUCUGUGGGUCUGUGAAAAGUGUAUUUGGUCUUCAUCCCAUUUCCUGGCAGACAACUCCUAAAAUUCCUGGAAUCUCUGAAGUGUGAUGAGUUGACUGGUGGCCAACACAGGAAUGGGGGCUGGUCACCAGAAAGACCCAGGCAGGAAUAGAGGGUCGGGAUUUUUAUUUACCUCCCUGGAAGGAAAGAGGUGGUAAAAGUUAAGUCAAUUACUAUAAUUUAGUCAAUCAUGCUUCUGUAAUGAAGCCUCCAUAAAAACCCAAAGGGAC
rnacentral:lncRNA from 1 species